rnacentral:rRNA from 1 species
UACGAAGGGGGCUAGCGUUGUUCGGAUUUACUGGGCGUAAAGCGCACGUAGGCGGAUCUUUAAGUCAGAGGUGAAAUCCCAAGGCUCAACCUUGGAACUGCCUUUGAUACUGGGGAUCUUGAGUCCGGGAGAGGUGAGUGGAAUUCCGAGUGUAGAGGUGAAAUUCGUAGAUAUUCGGAGGAACACCAGAAGCGAAGGGCGGCUCACUGGCCCGAUACUGACGCUGAGGCGCGAAAGCGUGGGGAGGCAAACAGG